GGGGAAUAUUGGGCAAUGGGGGAAACCCUUACCCAGCAACGCCGCGUGAGAGAAGAAGGUUUUCGGAUUGUAAAUCUCUGUCCUGUGGGGUGAAGAAAGUGACGGUACCACGGGAGGAAGCCCCGGCUACCUACGUGCCAGCAGCCGCGGUAAUACGUAGGGGGCGAGCGUUGUCCGGAAUUAUUGGGCGUAAAGGGCGUGUAGUCGGUUUUGUAAGUUACGGGUGAAAGCCCACCUUUCAAGGGUGGAAUUGCCUGUAAGACUGCGAGACUUGAGUGCAGGAGAGGGAAGCGGAAUUCCAAGUGUAGCGGUGAAAUGCGUAGAUAUUUGGAGGAACACCGGUGGCGAAGGCGGCUUUCUGGACUGCAACUGACGAUGAGGCGCGAAAGCGUGGGGAGCAAACA
rnacentral:rRNA from 1 species